rnacentral:rRNA from 1 species
AGAGUUUGAUCCUGGCUCAGGAUGAACGCUGGCGGCGUGCUUAACACAUGCAAGUCGAACGGAACUCUUUGGAUCGAGGCUUCGGCCAAGUGAAUUUGAGUUUAGUGGCGGGCGGGUGAGUAACGCGUGAGGAACCUGCCUUUCAGAGGGGAAUAACAGUUGGAAACGACUGCUAAUACCGCAUAACGCAUAGAGACCGCAUGAUCUUUAUGCCAAAGAUUUUAUCGCUGAAAGAUGGCCUCGCGUCUGAUUAGCUAGUUGGCGGGGUAACGGCCCACCAAGGCGACGAUCAGUAGCCGGACUGAGAGGUUGGCCGGCCACAUUGGGACUGAGAUACGGCCCAGACUCCUACGGGAGGCAGCAGUGGGGAAUAUUGGGCAAUGGGCGCAAGCCUGACCCAGCAACGCCGCGUGAAGGAAGAAGGUCUUCGGAUUGUAAACUUCUUUUAACAGGGACGAUAAUGACGGUACCUGUUGAAUAAGCUCCGGCUAACUACGUGCCAGCAGCCGCGGUAAUACGUAGGGAGCGAGCGUUAUCCGGAUUUACUGGGUGUAAAGGGCGUGUAGGCGGGACUGCAAGUCAGAUGUGAAAACUCCGGGCUCAACUCGGAGCCUGCAUUUGAAACUGUAGUUCUUGAGUGAUGGAGAGGCAAGCGGAAUUCCUAGUGUAGCGGUGAAAUGCGUAGAUAUUAGGAGGAACACCAGUGGCGAAGGCGGCUUGCUGGACAUUAACUGACGCUAAGGCGCGAAAGCGUGGGGAGCAAACAGGAUUAGAUACCCUGGUAGUCCACGCCGUAAACG